rnacentral:misc_RNA from 1 species
GUCUUGGCAAACUUAGUGUGGGACGUCCUCCGGCCCGUUGGACCGACGAUCUACGUAAGGUUGCCGGUGUAGGCUGGAUGAGGAAAGCGGAAGACCGGGAUGUCUGGCGCGAACUUGGGGAGGCCUAUGUCCAGCAGUGGACUGCGAUAGGCUGAAGUUAAUGCUCAUUGUGCACAUUGUAUAGUCCCACUCGAGUAAACAGUGACUCGUCC